rnacentral:rRNA from 1 species
UACGUAGGGCGCGAGCGUUGUCCGGAAUUAUUGGGCGUAAAGAGCUCGUAGGCGGUCUGUCGCGUCUGCUGUGAAAACCCGAGGCUCAACCUCGGGCCUGCAGUGGGUACGGGCAGACUAGAGUGCGGUAGGGGAGAAUGGAAUUCCUGGUGUAGCGGUGGAAUGCGCAGAUAUCAGGAGGAACACCGAUGGCGAAGGCAGUUCUCUGGGCCGUAACUGACGCUGAGGAGCGAAAGCGUGGGGAGCGAACAGG